CUCGGAAUCGCUGAAUAUAGCUGGUUGACUUCGGGUCAAAUCGUCAAAUAUUUGCAAAGAUAUUUCCUCAGUGAAAUCAUUUGGUCCCCUUCAACCAGCUGUAGCAGUGAUGCAUUACA
rnacentral:pre_miRNA from 1 species